rnacentral:rRNA from 1 species
AUUGAACGCUGGCGGCAGGCCUAACACAUGCAAGUCGAACGGUAACAGGAAGAAGCUUGCUUCUUUGCUGACGAGUGGCGGACGGGUGAGUAAUGUCUGGGAAACUGCCUGAUGGAGGGGGAUAACUACUGGAAACGGUAGCUAAUACCGCAUAACGUCGCAAGACCAAAGAGGGGGACCUUCGGGCCUCUUGCCAUCGGAUGUGCCCAGAUGGGAUUAGCUAGUAGGUGGGGUAACGGCUCACCUAGGCGACGAUCCCUAGCUGGUCUGAGAGGAUGACCAGCCACACUGGAACUGAGACACGGUCCAGACUCCUACGGGAGGCAGCAGCGGGGAAUAUUGCACAAUGGGCGCAAGCCUGAUGCAGCCAUGCCGCGUGUAUGAAGAAGGCCUUCGGGUUGUAAAGUACUUUCAGCAGGGAGGAAGGGAGUAAAGUUAAUACCUUUGCUCAUUGACGUUACCCGCAGAAGAAGCACCGGCUAACUCCGUG